CAUGCAAGUCGAACGAUGAAGAGCAGCUUGCUGCUUGGAUUAGUGGCGCACGGGUGAGUAAUAUAUAGGUAAUGUGCCUCUUAGUCUGGGAUAGCCAUUGGAAACGAUGAUUAAUACUGGAUACUCCUUCUAACUCUAAUGUUAGUCGGGAAAGUUUUUCGCUAAGAGAUCAGCCUAUAUCCCAUCAGUUAGUUGGUAAGGUAACGGCUUACCAAGGCAAUGACGGGUAGCGGGUUUGAGAGGAUGAUCCGCCACACUGGUACUGAGACACGGACCAGACUCCUACGGGAGGCAGCAGUGAGGAAUAUUGCACAAUGGGGGAAACCCUGAUGCAGCAACGCCGCGUGGAGGAUGACGCAUUUCGGUGUGUAAACUCCUUUUAUAUGUCAAGAAAAUGACGGUAGCAUAUGAAUAAGCACCGGCUAACUCCGUGCCAGCAGCCGCGGUAAUACGGAGGGUGCAAGCGUUACUCGGAAUCACUGGGCGUAAAGGACGCGUAGGCGGAUUGGAAAGUCAGAUGUGAAAUCCUACAGCUUAACUGUAGAACUGCAUUUGAAACUUCUAAUCUAGAGUAUGGGAGGGGGAGAUGGAAUUAGUGGUGUAGGGGUAAAAUCCGUAGAUAUCACUAGGAAUACCGAAAGCGAAGGCGAUCUCCUGGAACAUUACUGACGCUAAGGCGUGAAAGCGUGGGGAGCAAACAGGAUUAGAUACCCUGGUAGUCCACGCCCUAAACGAUGAACACUAGUCGUCGGGAUGCUUGUCAUCUCGGUGAUGCACUUAACAGAUUAAGUGUUCCGCCUGGGGAGUACGGUC
rnacentral:rRNA from 1 species